GAAAUGCGAUACGUAAUGCGAAUUGCAAAUCUAAGUGAGUCAUCAAAAUUUUGAACGCAACUUGCACUUCCGGGAAGCCGGAAGUAUGUCUGUUGGAGUGUCUGUUCAUCCCCACAGAUAAACUUUACUGUUUAACUGAGUCUGCCGUUAAUCUUAUCCAUUAAUGAGCGUAGAUGAAAUACACAACCGAACUCGCCCCUGCUCUGUUGAGUGUGGACGGCGUGACGUAAUAUCAGAAAUGAUCAUACACCACGCUAACCAUAUUUAGCAUCAAAAGAGCCAUGGUGAGAAUCUGUUCGGACCUCCAAUCAGUCAAGAUUACCCGCUGAAUUUAA
rnacentral:misc_RNA from 1 species